UCAAAUAAAAAUGUUAAGAAUUUUUUGAAAUUUGGAAAAACUCGUUGUUAAGAAUGUCUAAAUUAUAGAACAAUUUUUUUUAAAAUUUUUUACUGUCCCGUUUUUGAGAAUUUAAUUGUUGAAAUUGCAUGUUUUUAUAUGGGCUCUUAUGGGGAGUGUUAUGUGAAGUGCACUAUUUUGAUAAUAACUUGUGUCAAAAAGUUAAACUUUUUUUAAAAAUCAUACUCUUUUAAAGUUUAAUACUUUUGGAAUAAUUUAAAAAAAUAAUUGAGUAAACCGACUGUCUUGAUUUUUAGAAAUAACAUUAAAACUGGCGUAAAAUUACAGAUUUUCUAACCUCUCUAACAUAAUACACAGAAACGUGGCAACGUCGUAUACACGAAGUAGUAUAAGGAGACUUAACGCCCAUGUAAAGUUCAAAAAAACAUGGCCCCAAAACAAGGCGAAGCCUAUCUCAAGUUUUCCGGUGUUCGACUGUUCCGCGCGACCUCCUCGGGAAAAUUUACAACUAAAUAGUGACGUCUGCUUUUAAAGCACUGUGAAGUGUUUACAUUUGAAUGACAUAAAUAAUAAUUUAAAUAAUUACUUAUUAUUUAAUUAUGGGAGCAAAAUAAGACUAUUUGACAAUAUUAUUAAUUAUUAAAAAGAAAAACAAAGAAUCAUGGAAUAUUCGAUGGAAAAACUUACAUUUGAAGAGUGUAAGAUCAAAUUUAAUAAAUCACAAUUACCUUCUGAUAAGUGGUAUCAUAUGACAAGAAACAAAGAAUUUAUUUCGUUUAUAAAAUUGGAAUAAAUAAAGUCAAUCUUUGACAUUUCUAACGGGCGCUCUUUAAUUUGAAAUUGGUAGCAGGCGAACCACAUAUACCACUUAGUUGUAAAUUUUCCCGAGGAGGUCGCGCUGAACAGUCGGACACCGGAAAACUUGAGAUAGGCUUCGCCUUGUUUUGGGGCCAUGUUUUUCAGCCCGUCAAGUCUCCUUAUACUACUUCGUGGUCGUAUAAUGUAAACAUAUACGAAUGAAAUCUUAUUCAGUGUUACCAACACUGUUUCUAGCAUGCAUAUGGAAUGCGCUGUUGUCACGAUCUCCAUGCUCAUAAAAUUUUUUUACAAAAUUUUUUUUACGUAAUUAAAUAAUUAUUUUUUAAAAUGUUUUUUAAGAAUAAUGAAUUGGAAUUAUUAAAAAUACUAUUUUUUAUGUCUAAUAUAUUAAGUAUUGCAUAUUUCACUUAUAAAAUAUAUAUUAAAACAGUUGGUAUUUGCAGUUUUAAUCCCAUAUAAAAGCAUGUGAAUUCCCCUCUCGCCGCCUGCCCCGAAAAGACAGUCACCAUCCUCCU